rnacentral:rRNA from 1 species
CCUACGGGUGGCAGCAGUAGGGAAUAUUCCACAAUGGGCGAAAGCCUGAUGGAGCAACGCCGCGUGGGUGAAGAAGGUCUUCGGAUCGUAAAACCCUGUUGUUAGAGAAGAAAGUGCGUGAGAGUAACUGUUCACGUUUCGACGGUAUCUAACAAGACAGCCACGGCUAACUACGUGCCAGCAGCCGCGGUAAUACGUAGGUGGCAAGCGUUAUCCGGAUUUAUUGGGCGUAAAGGAAACGCAGGCGGUAGUUUAAGUCUGAUGUGAAAGUCUUCGGCUUAACCGGAGUAGUGCAUUGGAAACUGGGAGACGUGAGUGCAGAAGAGGAGAGUGGAACUCCAUGUGUAGCGGUGAAAUGCGUAGAUAUAUGGAAGAACACCAGUGGCGAAGGCAGCUCUCUGGUCUGUAACUGACGCUGAUGUUCGAAAGCGGGGGUAUCAAACAGGAUUAGAUACCCCUGUAGUC